AAACCAACAGGGAUUGCCUCAGUAACGGCGAGUGAAGCGGCAAGAGCUCAAAUUUGAAAUCCGGCCCCCUCGGGGGCCUGAGUUGUAAUUUGCAGAGGAUGCUUCGGGCGCGACCGCGGUCCAAGUCCCCUGGAACGGGGCGUCGUAGAGGGUGAGAAUCCCGUCUCCGGCCGGCCGGUCUCGCCCGUGUGAAGCUCCUUCGACGAGUCGAGUUGUUUGGGAAUGCAGCUCCAAAUGGGUGGUAAAUUUCAUCUAAAGCUAAAUACUGGUCGGAGACCGAUAGCGCACAAGUAGAGUGAUCGAAAGAUGAAAAGCACUUUGAAAAGAGAGUUAAACAGCAUGUGAAAUUGUUGAAAGGGAAGCGCUUGCGACCAGAGUCGGCCGCGGGGGUUCAGCGGGCAUUCGUUGCCCGUGCAAUCCCCCGCGGCCGGGCCAGCGUCGGUUUCGACGGCCGGUCAAAGGUCCCCGGAAUGUGUCGCCUCUCGGGGCGUCUUAUAGCCGGGGGUGCAAUGCGGCCAGUCGGGACCGAGGAACGCGCUCCGGCACGGACGCUGGCUUAAUGGUCGUCAGCGAC
rnacentral:rRNA from 1 species